rnacentral:rRNA from 1 species
AAGACAUGCAAGUCGUACGCGAACGACCUUUCGGGGUUAAGUAGAGUGGCGAACGGGUUAGUAACGCGUGGGAACAUACACAGCACAGGGGGAUAACCAUUGGAAACGAUGGCUAAUACCGCAUACGCCCUAUUGGGGAAAGAUUUAUCGGUGUUGGAUUGGCCCGCGUUAGAUUAGCUAGUUGGUGGGGUAAUGGCUCACCAAGGCGACGAUUUAUAGCUGGUUUGAGAGGAUGAUCAGCAACACUGGAACUGAGACACGGUCCAGACUCCUACGGGAGGCAGCAGUCGGGAAUAUUGUGCAAUGGGGGCAACCCUGACACAGCCAUGCCGCGUGAGUGAAGAAGGCCUUAGGGUUGUAAAGCUCUUUCAGAUGUGAGGAUGAUGACGAUAGCAUCAGAAGAAGCUCCGGCUAACUUCGUGCCAGCAGCCGCGGUAAUACGAAGGGAGCUAGCGUNGUUCGGAAUUACUGGGCGUAAAGGGCGUGUAGGCGG